rnacentral:rRNA from 1 species
AACAAACGCUGGCGGCGUGCCUAAUACAUGCAAGUCGAACGGGAAAAGCUUUCGGGCGAGUACUAGUGGCGCACGGGUGAGGAACACGUGGAUAAUCUGCCUUGGAGAGGGGGAUAACUAGUCGAAAGAUUAGCUAAUACCGCAUAAGACCACAGGAACUGAGGUUCUAGGGGUCAAAGGUUUUUCGCUCCAAGAUGAGUCCGCGUAAGAUUAGCUAGUUGGUGAGGUAAUGGCUCACCAAGGCGACGAUCUUUAACUGGUCUGAGAGGAUGAUCAGUCACACUGGAACUGAGACACGGUCCAGACUCCUACGGGAGGCAGCAGUAGGGAAUAUUGCACAAUGGAGGAAACUCUGAUGCAGCGACGCCGCGUGAGUGAUGAAGGCCUUCGGGUCGUAAAGCUCUGUCGCAGGGGAAUAAAAAAAUGAAGGUACCCUGCAAGAAAGGAUCGGCUAACUUCGUGCCAGCAGCCGCCGCCG